UGCACUGUUAUACACCCCCAUACUCAUCAGGUAUACUAUAUAUAUAUACAUACACCCAUCAUUGCACUGUUAUACACCCCCAUACUCAUCGGGUAUACUAUAUAUAUACAUACACCUAUCAUAGGCCUGUUAUACACCCCAUACUCAUCAGGUAUACUAUAUAUAUAUACAUACACCUAUCAUAGGCCUGUUAUACACCCCCAUACUCAUCAGGUAUACUAUAUAUAUAUACAUACACCUAUCAUAGGCCUGUUAUACACCCCCAUACUCAUCAGGUAUACUAUAUAUAUACAUACACCUAUCAUAGGCCUGUUAUACACCCCCAUACUCAUCAGGUAUACUAUUUAUAUAUAUAUAUAUACAUACACCCAUCAUAGGCCUG
rnacentral:lncRNA from 1 species